AAGCCUGACGGAGCAAUACCGCGUGAGGGAGGAAGGCUCUUGGGUUGUAAACCUCUUUUCUCAGGGAAGAAGAGAUGACGGUACCUGAGGAAGAAGCAUCGGCUAACUCCGUGCCAGCAGCCGCGGUAAUACGGAGGAUGCAAGCGUUAUCCGGAAUGAUUGGGCGUAAAGCGUCCGUAGGUGGUGAUGCAAGUCUAUUGUCAAAGCGUGCGGCUCAACCGCAUAAAGGCAGUGGAAACUGUGUAACUAGAGUGCAUUCGGGGCAGGGGGAAUUCCUGGUGUAGCGGUGAAAUGCGUAGAGAUCAGGAAGAACACCGGUGGCGAAAGCG
rnacentral:rRNA from 1 species